CAUUAUUGGAAUGAAGGUACCACCAUGAAGCAUGCUAUCUAGUGCUGUCAAUACAUCAUGUGAAAAACACAUCUGGACACCUUAAAUUCUAAUGUGGCACUUAACACCUUAAAAUACAUACCAGAGCAUAUACCACUUUUUAUUGACACCAAUCAGGUGUUUUAUAUACAACUUUUAUGUUAUGUAUGUCAUGAAGUGAUAGUCAGGAUAAAAACUGAUUCUAUUGAUCCUAAACUAUGUCUUCACAGAAAGCUGAGGCAACUGGGGAGAAAAGACCCAGGGGACGACCCAGGAAAUGGGUGCUGAGAUGGAUAGGCAGACCUCUGCCAAGCUGACCAGCUUCCUCUGCUAGUAAUAGCUUGAAGGGGAACUCUCUGCUCUCCAAUAGAUUGCAUUCAUCAGUUGUGCACAGCAAUUCCCCUUUUCUGCUGCCAAGUGGCUGCUGUCCAUUGGAUUUUAUGUGUUGGUUCCACCACAGGCAAGCUAAUGUCUUUCUCCCUGUUUGCAGCUCUAUUACAGUAAUGAUUUGCAUCCUCAACAUUUGGCUGAGUAUAAGUAAUUUAUUCUCGUGAUUAUGGCAACAACAAUAAAAAUUGUGAAAAUAAACAUUGCAGUUAGUGCUAUAUUUUAUUGAAGGUAAUGGCUUAUUGGUAUGGGACUAAUACCUGGAGACUUUUGUUUUUGUAAUAAUUGACAAAUGAUUGACACGUGUGUCAUGGAGGUCAGUGUAUAAGCGCAAUUUUCUUAAAUGUGGCACAAAAUCUAGCUCAUGAAAGCUCUCACAUUCUGGUAUAAAUAAUAUUAUACUAUCAUAAUUAUAUCAUUUUGUAUCCUACAUGACCUUUAAGCCAACUCCUGUCUGCCUGUGAACUCUCUGUCCUGUUCAUUCUCAAUAAACUAGAGGAUUAUUUGAGAUUCCUCAACCAAGAAAUGUAAAUAAACGUGUGCUCUCACUAUAUAAAUUCUCAAAAAUACAGAAUAUUUUAUAUUAUUUUUUAUACCGACAUUACUUCACUUCAUCACGUAUCAGCAGACACAUGUACAAUCUCAAUAUGUCUGUGAAAACCAAUAUCUAUAGCUGAUUUAUCUAGUUCAUGCACAGCACUAGGCUGUCCAUGCUAGUCAGAACUCAGCUGUGUGACUCCUCAACCAAAUAUCCCUGCCCAGUUUAUCAGAAUUCUGUACAAAAUCUGUACACUGUGUAAAGUACAAGUUAUACAGAAAGUUAUAAAAUCUCAAAGUUAUAAAGUGGAGUUUUUGUACAGUAAUCAGUGAGGUCUGAACAACACCGUCCUUGAGAAUCACUACAUACAGUUAAGAUGAAAUAGAAAAUACCUGUUACGGACCUCAAGGGCUCGCAAGGCCCGAAACAUAUUGAAAGAAAACAUGAAGACAAAAGUUGCCACUAAAACAAUAAUAUUUUUUUAUUAAUUCAAAACAAACGAAAUAAUUCCCCAAGAAAAUAACAAAACAAAAGGGUUGGAGGUUCCUGGCCAAAAUAAACAAAC